rnacentral:rRNA from 1 species
GACGAACGCUGGCGGCGUGCUUAACACAUGCAAGUCGAACGCUGAAGCUUGGUGCUUGCACUGGGUGGAUGAGUGGCGAACGGGUGAGUAAUACGUGAGUAACCUGCCCUUGACUCUGGGAUAAGCCUGGGAAACUGGGUCUAAUACUGGAUACGACAUGUCACCGCAUGGUGGUGUGUGGAAAGGGUUUUACUGGUUUUGGAUGGGCUCACGGCCUAUCAGCUUGUUGGUGGGGUAAUGGCUCACCAAGGCGACGACGGGUAGCCGGCCUGAGAGGGUGACCGGCCACACUGGGACUGAGAAACGGCCCAGACUCCUACGGGAGGCAGCAGUGGGGAAUAUUGCACAAUGGGCGGAAGCCUGAUGCAGCGACGCCGCGUGAGGGAUGACGGCCUUCGGGUUGUAAACCUCUUUCAGCACGGAAGAAGCGAAAGUGACGGUACGUGCAGAAGAAGCGCCGGCUAACUACGUG